rnacentral:tRNA from 1 species
GGCCCCGGGGUGUCACACGUAAGGUUGCAAACCUUAAGAAGCAGAAUAGAUUCUGCCGGGGCUU